GGCAAGCGUUGUCCGGAAUUAUUGGGCGUAAAGGGCUCGCAGGCGGUUUCUUAAGUCUGAUGUGAAAGCCCCCGGCUCAGCCGGGGAGGGUCAUUGGAAACUGGGAAACUUGAGUGCAAAAGAGGAGAGUGGAAUUCCACGUGUAGCGGUGAAAUGCGUAGAGAUGUGGAGGAACACCAGUGGCGAAGGCGACUCUCUGGUCUGUAACUGACGCUGAGGAGCGAAAGCGUGGGGAGCGAACAGGAUUAGAUACCCUGGUAGUCCACGCCGUAAACGAUGAGUGCUAAGUGUUAGAGGGUUUCCGCCCUUUAGUGCUGCAGCUAACGCAUUAAGCACUCCGCCUGGGGAGUACGGCCGCAAGGCUGAAACUCAAAGGAAUUGACGGGGGCCCGCACAAGCGGUGGAGCAUGUGGUUUAAUUCGAAGCAACGCGAAGAACCUUACCAGGGCUUGACAUCCCGCUGACCGGUGCAGAGAUGCACCCUUCCUUCGGGACAGCGGU
rnacentral:rRNA from 1 species